rnacentral:lncRNA from 1 species
AGACGCUGAGGUUGGUCCGCCGUAUCGGCGCUUCGGGCGCCGGGUGGUGGGGCAGGGGGAGGGGGAGGGAGCGAGCCGCCCUUUGCUUCUCCUCCCGCCGCCUCGCUACAUCUUUCUCCCGAAGACCGCAUCGCAACACGUUGGCCUUACACAUCCAUGUACCUAUUACGCCCGAGUUUCGUAUUCCUGAGAUCAUAUAGCUGCGUGCAACGAGCCGUGUGGCACGAAACGUGAACGGGAGAACUGGCUGGCAGGGUCUGAUGAAUUUUAUGAAGCUGAAGCCGGUGAAGUUAUUGCAAUGAUUCACGUUUCGAGUAAAAAAGGUGUCGUCGUCGCCCACGCGGAGAAAUCGGUUUAGUGACGAUUCAGAGGAUCAAGUAUACCUGCGUGUUGGACAUGACGAGAUGAGAAAAUUGAUGAAAUGCUUUGACGACGUCUCGCUAAUAAACAAUUUCACAUUCGGUUAAGCUGAGUACCGAUGUUAUACCGAUCCAGAAAAAUAUUGAACGUUCGAGUAGCUUCUCAAUCAAAUGGAAUUACAACAAUCAACGGAAUUCAAUCGCAGAGCGUUGAAUCGAUAACUGGCCAGCUUGAAUGACGCUUAUAUCGGCAGUACGAAAAUGCGCCUCUGGUUCUUCGAGGUAACGUAAAAUCGAAUGCUGCCAUGCUGCUGCGUGAGGAUCCUUAGAGCUGCACCAGGGACCUCAUCUCCACUGCCAGGAUGGUUGAGUUUUCAGCGAAGUCCUUAAGAAUCACCAGGAAACGAGAACAUUUGUCAUCUACGGCUUGUGAUUUGUGUCCUGACGUGAGAAAACCUUGAAACGCUUCCUUACCGCUGAUAUAUCAGUGCCGUAUGCUGUAGAUGGUGUGAACUGAAAACCCUAGUGUGCACGCGUAUGCUGUGCGAGCCGCAAAUCUAAAAAGGCACAGGAAGCGCAUAAUACGAUGUCAUGAAACAGGUAUGGACCUCAGGAAUAAAGAUUCGAACGAGCCAAUCUCGAGUAUAUUCUACAGUAUUGGUAUGUAUACCGUAUUAUGUACAUGCUCGUAUAUGUGCGCCGCUUCUAUGCGUCGGGGGUAUACCUGUUCCGACCCAGGGAGCACGAUCGACAGCCAGCCAGCUACGCCGCGCAUUGGCGUAGGCCUCGGGAAACACAACCUGGAUCAAGAACACGCCGACUAAAAUUACCAGUCAGAAAUUGAGAAAAAUGGUUCGGGAGUUCCGGCAAUGCCUGUAUUUUAAUUGUUGCUGAUUUCUCUUAAAGUCGAACUGACAAUUAGUAGCAAGCUUCCGAGCUCGCUGCAGAACUGGACACAGAAGCCAAACGACACUUCGACUUGUACCUGUCCAGACGAUAGUCUUCGUGGUAGAGAAUCGUCAACGAGGUUUUCCGAAGAUUGGAUACGACGGACAUGGACUGAAAUCAAGAUAGGCAUGUUGUUGCAUUUUUUUUUUCUCAGGUGACGGAUGAUUUCUGAAAAGAGAACUUUUCUGCGAGUGUAUAAUAAAAGUGAACGAAAAGUGUGAUGGGCGCCAAUGGCGGAAGGAUCGGUUGCCCAACAGAGCCUGAGAAUGAGGUCUGUUUAAGGAAUAAGGGAUCGAACACCUCAAGGCUCGGAGUUACAGAUCGUUGAAGGGUGAAGCAGCGCCGAGGAAGCCGUAAAAAAUGAGAAAUAUAACAAGUGGGUGAAGGAGAUGAGGAAGUGUAUUAUCCAAUUUUCAUUCAUCGCCCAUAGACUGACUCCAGACCGAGAAACUAGUGGGCAGAACGAUUUCGAAUUAUACAUAAAUGUGAAAGUUUUCUCCACGAUAUAUCGUAGUUGCAAAGAUCGAAGUGGGGGACGGGGUAAAAGCAAAGAAGAUAAAGCCCCUUCAUAUUUUCGUGCGAGUUGGACGUUAGCCACAGAGUUAUGGAGUUCAAUUCCUCCGUGUGAAAUACAACAUGGAUACAGCUAUGCCCUCGAUAAGAAUAUCGUGGAUACCGUGGUUCCUACGAUCAAUCUUGAAACUCACGUGGACAUGAUAACCAUAAAAAACAACCGCUUACAACAAUCUGACCAGGACUCGGUGAUAAUAUAUGUCUUAGUUGUACGAGUAGACGGAAAUUUCGAGUAGAAUUCGUCUGUUUGCGCAAAAGUACAGGGAAUGCGCGUGCCGAGUUGGAAACGCAGAUUGAAAGUACCUACUAUCAAGGUUCAAAGGUUAGUUCGUAAGACCGGACAAAUACGGCAAAGGGCAAAGCAUACAGGCCUAUGUACCCACGACUAUCCUUGGGUGGUGAAAUUGUUUGACCAGGUGGCAAAUUCGCCGAGUUGUUUGUGUAGGCUGCACCGGUUGUAUAUGUUAUGUAAUUUCGUACAAAGCUCCAGAUGUGACUGUACGCUUCAGCCUGGCACCCACCGCGUACACAUAUACAUACAUAAAGCCACGCGUGCACGGGGUAGGCCAGCUCGCCUAUUCAAUGCUCCCAUUCAAUCGUGAUUUGUAUACAAACGAGGGCAUUUGCCAAAUUACGGUCUGACGCGAACGAUUAGCCCGAGCCUCCGAUCAAACUCACUCGCCGAGCAUUACAUCGGACGGUUUUUGCCCCUCGGCUGAAACCAUCCCCGCUAUAAAACAGAAAAAAAAUCUCUAUCAACGAUUCCAGCGAUACUUUUUCCUCUUCCGACAAUUAGGUCCGUCAAGAUGCAAGACAGUCCGUUUCACACGGAAUGGUAGCGAAAAACGUUCACCAGGCUUGGUUCUUCUUUGUAGCUGGUGAAUCGACUCGAUGCACUUCAGACCAGGGGUAAAUCCAGCUUUUAAUUUCUACCCUGUUUUGUUUCACUGCCAAGUGAACGACGCCUUGCUACCGGGGAUCGUUAAGAGUACCAGGUAAAUUCCAGGGGCCGGAAUGUGUCGUCGUAAUUUUCAGCAGGUCCUGAGAUAUAAUAGAUAAUUAGCUAUCGUGCCCACGGAUCCUGAUAAAGUAUCAGUCUCCAACGGCGAUGGGCACCCUCGCUCACGAUCAGCUUACAUCUUGGAAAUGUGAAAGUGGGCGUGAGGCUCGUCCCGAGAAACGGCGCGUCCUCGCUGCGUGGCAGCCUCGACCUCCCAGGGCCGUCAGCAGUGACCGUUAUUUGCGAUGAUGGUCGCGGUUCGCAUCCUGCGGAAACAACGACUGCUUAUCAAACCAGCAAUUCUAAACAUAUGCGAGUGUACAUAUGCAUGUUACAACAGUCACUUCGCACACUCCGCCUUCUCGGCUACUCGACUCCGCCUCUCUCUCUCUCUCUCUCUGUCUCUGCACGGGGCACUGCAAUCAUCACUGGCCACGGCAUCGCAACUGUCAAUAAUAUUAUCCAACCCGAGUUUUAGCGAUCGGUGCAGCUGGCUCGUGGACUGGGAUCGCUAAUGUCAGCCUUGCUGUGAACACGGUUCGAAUCCAUCUCGCAUUGGAAGACGAUCGCGAGUGGAAAUGGUAAGGUUGAAAAUCUGGACCAAUCACAAUUUCUUCUAGGAUACAAAAUUUCACCACUGGUAUUGUUGUUUUCAACAGUAAAUGGUCAUUUUGUCCAUAGUACAUUGUCACCAGCGCUGAUUUGAGCACCAAAGAAAAUAUUCUUUUGUACACCGACCACGUAAAACGUAGAUAUUUCUAACCGCUCAUUGGCACCGAUUUUUGCGCUUCGUUGUAAAGUGCUGACGCCUGUGCGCCGCUCAUAUGCCAGUUCAUCGAUUGGCGACGAGCCGCACAUUUCGCGCGGCGGUGGGGUUUCGAAAAUGGACAACCUUCGCGGUGAAGCCUGUUGAACUUAUUUCACUCGUGUUAAGUUCAGGAUGCCUUGGUCUCUCGCCUGGCAACAUCCAUUAUUAAAAACACGAAGUGUCGUAUGGCUGCCGCGAGUUGCACAAUUACCGUCGCCUGUCAAGGAAUUAAAACCUUAUAGUUGAUUCCAGUUCACGCGUUGCUG